rnacentral:lncRNA from 1 species
CCAGGUCGCCUGCCGCGUCAGGGGCGAGAGGGCUUGAGCGCGUGUGAUGCUACGUCUUCGUUGUAGUGCUAGAACUAGAUGGGUGGUUCGUUUCUUGCCGUGCUAUCUUGUAGUAAUGUUCUGAAUGUGUUGGUCUCACUUCAAUGGAAUGCGAUUGCAAGUUUCUGAAAUUUCUGAAUGGCUCUGUUCUCGUGAGAUAUGCUGUCCGUUCCAUGCCAUCUGUUGUGAUUAAAGUGUUGAGUUGCUGGAACGAAUAGAUCUGGUGUAGUCGCUUUUAGAAAUGUGGGCCUGCAGAAUUGAUUUUGUGUCAAAAAUGCUGUUGCAUAUCCCCCUUUUUGCUCUGAAGGCUAGAGUGUUGGAGAUGCCCAAGAGGGCCUGGCCCAAUUAGCAAGCUAAUCACCGGUCACGAAAGGAUUAACCUAAGGGCUAAUUGCUUCCUGGCUGCCGCACGCCAGGCUCUAGCUGCCGCCAAGCUCCUGCCGUAUGACUUGCCUCUCUGGUGCGCCGCUGCCGCCGCACGCACCUGCCUGGUGCACUGCUGCAGUUCCCCUCCCUGAUCAAAGGUUGAUCGCGGGGAUCUCAAGUACGUGCCGUUGAGUGCUAGUAUGCUUCGGUUCGUUGUCUCAUCCCAUACGUGUGGACUGCCGUAGAGGUGUCGUUAGCUUGCACACUUCAUCAGAUUGUACAACUACCUCGACGUCGAUUGGAUCGACUACUCAUGCUUCAUCAAGACUUCCGCUGUGACGCGCGACGAACGAAGGUAUAAUCUAAGAUCAUCUACUCGCAAGUGAUCCUGUUUACGCGUUUAUUUUAUUGUGUGCUAGAGAGUAGCAUGACGCGUUCCCUACCGCGUUUCCUAACAUAGAGCUGGUGCCCUCA